rnacentral:rRNA from 1 species
ACGGAGGGUGCAAGCGUUAAUCGGAAUCACUGGGAGUAAAGCGCGCGUAGGCGGCUUUUUAAGUCGGACGUGAAAGCCCUCGGCUCAACCGGGGAAUUGCGUUCGAAACUGUGAGGCUUGAGUCCUGGAGAGGGUGGCGGAAUUCCGGGUGUAGGAGUGAAAUGCGUAGAUAUCCGGAGGAACACCAGUGGCGAAGGCGGCUACCUGGACAGGUACUGACGCUGAGGCGCGAAAGCGUGGGGAGCAAACAG